CUGGUUCACAUCUCGGUGGGGAGCUCGAGGCUUCCUGGGGCUUUCCUCCAUCACAUAUUUCCAAACAGGCAGUGCUGCCCUUGGAAGACAGAGAUUCAUCGAGGUGUUGGGAGUGUGGAUCAUAAUUCCCUUCUCCCUCCGCUGGGGGUAGACUGACCACCUUCUC